rnacentral:rRNA from 1 species
UGACUGGGGCGGUCGCCUCCUAAAGAGUAACGGAGGCGCUCAAAGGUUUCCUCAGAAUGGUUGGAAAUCAUUCAUAGAGUGUAAAGGCACAAGGAAGCUUGACUGCGAGACUUACAAGUCGAGCAGGGUCGAAAGACGGACUUAGUGAUCCGGUGGUUCCGCAUGGAAGGGCCAUCGCUCAACGGAUAAAAGCUACCCUGGGG